UACGGGGGGGGCAAGCGUUGUUCGGAAUUACUGGGCGUAAAGGGCGCGUAGGCGGCCUGCUAAGUCGGAUGUGAAAUCCCUCGGCUCAACCGAGGAACUGCAUCCGAUACUGGCGGGCUUGAAUCCGGGAGGGGGAUGUGGAAUUCCAGGUGUAGCGGUGAAAUGCGUAGAUAUCUGGAGGAACACCGGUGGCGAAGGCGGCAUCCUGGACCGACACUGACGCUGAGGCGCGAAAGCUAGGGUAGCAAACGGG
rnacentral:rRNA from 1 species